UAAUAGUGUAUAUUAAAGUUGUUGCAGUUAAAAAGCUCGUAGUUGAAUGUUGGUGUCGAACGAGCGGUCAGCUUCGGCUGUACUGCUCUCUCGACUCCUUCCUUCUGUGGACUACGUCGCACUUUACUGUGUGGCGCUAGGACGCAGAUCGUUUACUGUGAAAAAAUUAGAGUGUUCAAAGCAGGCCGUACGCUUGAAUACAUUAGCACGGAAUAAUGGAAUAGGACGUCGGGCCUAUUUUGUUGGUUCUAGGACCGUCGUAAUGAUUAAUAGGGACAGUUGGGGCCGUUUAUAUUCCGUAGUCAGAGGUGAAAUUCUUGGAUUUACGGAAGAUAAACUACUGCGAAAGCAUUCGGCAAGGAUGUUUUCGUUAA
rnacentral:rRNA from 1 species